ensembl:lncRNA
GGGAGGGGCGUGGCCUAGGUCGGUGGGCGGGGCCUCAGUCUUGACGGAGCUAGGGGUCCAUGAGCACCCGGAGCCGCAGAGGCAGGACAAAAGUUGUGAGUAUCCAAAGCUCGGGCAGCUGGCAGCAGUGGAGCCGCCGGGGCGACGACCACCAUGCGGAGACCGGCGCGACCUUUUGAGACGCAGCUGGACCCGCCCAGUUCGGCGCCCGGGUCAUUCCAGGGUCUGGGGCAGCGGCGGGGGCCGCGGGCGGAUGGCGUGAACCCAACCGCUGCAGGAUGCCCUCCAAACACAGGGCCCCGGGGCUGUGCGCUGCUGAGCCGAGCCAUAGAAGACCAAGAAGGCCACUGACAUCAUAGACAGAUUGCUCUUACUGUGAACUCUCUUCCUGUGACAUGUCACAUCCUCAGAGCAGAGGUCGCCCUCCUGGAAGAAACCAAUGUUUUGUGAGGCAUUCAAAUUCACAAUCCAGAGGCACUUAACAAGGCAAUUCCCACCAGUGACCACUGACCCUUACAGAUGAAGCCUCAAAAGAGUGUGUUUGGUUUUUUCAAGGAGCAUGGAAAAGCCAGAACUCAAAUUCUUUCUAUGAAGGAAGAAGAGAUGAGGGAGAGAGAGAGUAAAGAUGCCCAUGCAGCCUCAGGUCCUAAGAGCAUCAUCCAACAAGAUGAACAGGAUCCGCCCCUCCAACGCCUUCCUGGGACAGUCCAGCAGGACAGCAGGUGUGUGAGGUGCCUGCAUCAGUAACACCUUUCAUGUAACUGAACCAAGUUCACUUGCCUGACAUGCAGCAAGCCAAGGGCUGAGACACCCAUGUGUUGCAGCAGAGAGAAGGUUUAUUCACAAGGCAUUCACGCAAGGAGGCAGAUCACAAAUUCGCAUCCCAGAAGGUGAGAGGCUCGGGAUAUUUACGGGGAUAAAGAAGCAGGGUGGUCUGAGGCCCAGGGAAUGUGUGCAAAGGUGACUGGAGGUAAGAAAAAGGUCAAGUAGGGAGUUCCUGUUGUGGCUCAGUGCAUCAGGAACUCAACAUAGGGUCCACGAGGAUAUGGGUUUGAUCCCUGGAUUUGAUCCUUGUGGGUUAAGGAUCUGGCAUUGCCAUAAGCUCUGCUGUAGCCUGCAGAUGUAGCUCGGAUCUGGUGUGUUGCCAAGGCUGUGAUGUAGGCCUCAGCUGCAGCUCCGAUUUGACCCCUAGCCUGGGAACCUCCAUAUGCUGCAGGUGUGGCAUAAAGAGAAGGAAAAAAAAAGAAGACAAGAAAAAAAAAGGUAAAGCAAUAGUUUUUCCGUGAAGUCACAACUAAGCUACAGGCUUCUUCAUGGGAGGCAUGUUCAGAAGAUGAGGGCCUAAUCAUGCUCAGAGGAGGGGUUGUGGGUCUCUAAAGUCCAAAGAUCACUGAGGGACAGAGCUGCCUUUAAGUUCUUGAAAAAUAAUUGGGGCGAACUUCUUGUCAUUUAGGAUAAUGGAUGCUUGGAGGACAUGCAAGUUUUUGUGAAAACAAAGCGAGCUUGAUCAGUGAAGGCAGGUUACAACUCAUUAUUUAUUGAGCAAGUUAUUAAGAUUUAAUGGGAGUUCCCCUAGUGGCUCAGUGGUAAUGAACCCAACUAGUAUCCAUGAGGACUCGGGUUCAAUCCCUGGCUUGCUCAGUGGAUUAAGGAUCCAGCAUUGCCAUGAGCUGUGGUGUAGGUUAUAGGCAUGGCUUAGAUCUGGUGUUUCUGUGGCUGUGGCUACAGCUCUGAUUUGAC